GUUUUUUUAAUUAAUAUUAUUUUCAUUUCAUUCAUGUUCUCACAGUGGUCUAUCCUGAUUUGCUGUCUGGAAUCUCUUCUGCAAGGUUUGCUGGGAAGCCUUGGAAGAUGUGGUGCUUCUAUAACAUCUUUAUGCUAGAAACACAAGGAGCAUGUGACUAUGCAGUUCUAUUCAACCUGACGGAUGAGAUACCUAUAUUCCCUGAUGUGAACAAAACCAACUUGAAUUCCAGUGAUUCUUCAGACACUUUCUUACAGGGAUCAAUGUAUGCUUUCCUUCUGUUAGCAAUGCAAACUAAAGGGAUCAGUUUUAAUAGGACAUACUUUCAAAUAUUUAUUUUCCCAUAUUUUUUUAAAGAAUCCAGCUUGGCAUGCUAGAGUGGCAACUUAUCAGAAGCAUCCAGGUCAUAAAUCACUGUUGCUAUUUCAUGUUGCAUUUCAGACUGUAAUUUUUCUUUUCUUCCUUCAAAUCUUUCAUGACUCAAAAAAGAAAAAAAAAAAAAAAAAAAGAAGGAAAAAAGAAAUUAUUGACAGAAAAAAACAACAAUCACAUGGAAGAAAAUGAGAAAGUAAUGAAAUUGUGUUUGGGUUGGGAUUGUGGGCAUAUGUAUCCAAUGUUUACUUCCAAAUUUUUCUACUACUAAGAUGUCAAUUCCUGUCAAAGUAUGGAUUGCUGCAAAUAAUUCUGGAGUAUAGAUUAGUGUUACAUUUGACUAGAGUGGAAAAAAGAGAUCAUCCUGAAUGUGCUACAUUUUCUUAAAUUUUGAGUGUUUUCUUAUUUGUCAACUAGCAUAGUUAUUGUUUAGGCAAAAUUUUCAUUAUUUUCAAUGGGAUUUCAGGCUUGGGCUGGCAAUCUGAUAAGGAAGUUACCUUUAUAUCCCUAUGGACCAUUCUUGCAUGCUGAAAUUGAUCUUUGUGUUUGCAGGCUCCUUCUGUCUUCUAUAGCACACUAGUUUCUUGAGCUUUUUAGGUUUUUUUAACUGAAGAGUCAUGGAGCUUUUUAUGAUGUGCAGCUGUAUGGGUAGUAUGGAAGGCUCUUUGAAGCCUUUUGGACUUGAUGGCUGUUGCUUUCCUGCUUGUUCUAGAUUGAGAGUCUAAAUACUGAUGAAUAUUGUUAUUUCUAGAACUGCUGUGGGUUUUCUCCUUUUAAUUUUUUUUUUUUUUUUAAGGUGGUGAGGUUUCAAAAGGCAGCAGUGCUAAUCAGGAGACCUAAUGCUAGUGAUAAUGCACUUCCCCUUGACUAGAUGCUUUUGCCAGUGUCCUCUUCCCAUGGCAUGCCAGUUCAGCUCUCUGGGCUGGUCAGCAGGGCUUGAGGGGAAAAGGGCUUUCUUGUGUGUAUUCAACCCAGGAACAAGAGCAGCCAUGAGGGAUAUCUGAGGCCAUACCACUAAGCAGGGAGUGAGGAGGGGACUAUCUGCCUCUUGUGAGAGCAAGGAGGCAGUAGGAGUUGACAUCUCUUUCAUGAAAUUUUACCCGAAAUGAGCCCUGAUGCUCUGUUCUCUGUAACACCUCUACAGCUUCUUUCCCUUGACAUUCUUGUUUGGCGUCUAUUGACCAUGACAAGUCCACAUUUAAUAAAAAUACUAGUAUUUGCUGGAUUUGAGUACUUUGUGUCUACAUACUUUCUUAGAGAGAGAUGUCUGAAUAUGGGUGAGUUUCUAAGAAAGCCAUUUGUAGGAUUUAUUUAUGCAUUUUAAGUUUUAUCCUUAAUUCUACUCUGCAUGGAUUUGGAGAAAAGAAGAGCAGUAUUGUAAGUGUAUUUUUGUCCUGAGUUCUAAUAAUGCUUUUGUGGCUCUGUGGUUUUAUUUCCUUAGACCACUCCAUGUACUAUUGCAACUAAGGUAGAGGGUUUUUUAAUAUAAACAUAAUUCCUGAUACACUUACUUUCUUCUGGAUUUUUUUUAAUAUCUCUUAAUUGUUUUAGAAUAGAUUUAUAGCAAUAUUGCUGCUAAGAGAAACAUAGUAGACUCUUAAGCUAGUAAGAAUAAUCAGUUCUAAACAAAAUGCAGAAAACUUGACUAUCAGAAACCAGUUUGAAAUUAUUAAUGUUUUUUCAUAAAUAGUUUUCUUACGUCUCUUCAAGAAUUAGCUUGAAAUAGUAUUUGUUGGAUUUUUGCUUGGGUUGUUUGUUUUGGUGUUUUUUUCCCCAAAUAAUUUUCUUACAUCUCUUCAAGAACGAAGGAUACUUAUGGAAAGCAAGUAGUUAAAAUUAACAUCAACUUGACACUGAAAAUGAAACAUACAUCACAAAGACCAAACAUUUUCCUGUCAAAAGGACAACUGCAAUUUGGGAAUCAGUAUAAUACAAAUUUAAAUGUCUGCUUUUCUUAGUUUCUGUUUAUCCUUUUAAUAUUUCAUUUUUAGAAUUUGCAUUUUGUUUAAAAAUAAUGUAUUUUCAGAAGUCUCUUGAAAAGUUUUAACAGGAGGAAUUUGUUUUAGGAAUGUCUUAACACAUAUUCGGCAUACAUAUUAUGUAGAAUGCGUAUAGUAUUUGGAUUUUUUUUUUUCUGUUCAAGCUUUGCACAUCUCAUAACAUUCACAGUUAAUGUAUGAUUGCCUGAUUGUUAUAAAUUUUUUUUGCCACUGUAAACUUCUAAGAAGUCUAAGCUCUUUUAUGCAUUUCAUGUAAUUAUAUGUAAAGUAUUUUAAAAUGAGAUUUUUGUGAUUGUCAGAACUCUAAAGUGGCGAUGUGAGGAAAGAAGUAAAGCUAUCCAAGGUAACUUACAUAACAAAAUCUAGAUGUAGGUCUCACAUGUAUGUAUAAGUGCUUAUGCAGUGUUUAAUAUGAAAGGACUUUCUAUGUAGGUUUAUUCUUUAGAUAGAUUUCUUUAGAAAUUGAUAUACUUAAAAGUAUGUGACUUGAUUUGAUAACAGUCUUAAGUUACACAUGGUGCUGAACAAUUCUACUUCUCAAAGGCUGAUACUGCUCGUGAGUUUUUAAUUAUUCUGUUAAGAUAAAAUUUUAUGUAGUAUUGUCAAGAAGCAUUGUCUUUGAAUAGAAGUAAUUGCUUAAGUUUGGAGGUACUAAAAACUAUUUAAACAAAUCCCUUGUUUUGUUUUAAAUAGUUGUAAUAACCAAUAUAAUCCUUUGAAUUCUGUUGAUAAUCCAGACAAAGAAGGGAAACCAAAGACUGAAUGAUGCCUAUGUAUAGCAGGCAUUUGGCUGCUGAUUGCCAAGUGCACAGUUCACCGUUCGGUCACCUCUGUCUGUCAGUUUAGUCCCUUUAAUGCAGUUCUCUGCAAUCUCCCUGUUCUCUAAAGCUUAUCUGGGGGCUUCAGACAUUGCCUAGCUCAUUAUUCCCCAAGGAAGGUUAAGGCCUUUAUUGUCUGACCAGAACUGCUCGCUAAUUAGAGCCCUUGUUUUGGCACUGAAUGUGUCAGGCCUGCAAGACUUCCUACUGGAAUCAGUGGCAUUCAUGUUUGCUUUCAUAAAUGCACAAUAGACAGGAAUCUUGGCAAAGACCUGCAUACUUAGCUUGUGCAAAGAAACAGGUUUGAGUCUUUUUUUGAAAUAAUGAUAAGUAGAAAGAGAGCUAUUGGAAUAUGUGCUGACUAUUCCACUGAAAAAAAGAGUGCUCUGCCUAAGGAGAGCCCAGUGUGCAGUUCAAACCCAUCAUGUAUUUGUACCCAUGUAGAAAUUUGGAGUCAGUAGUCUUUGUCAGUAGUCUUUUGUGAUGGUAAUUAUUCUCAGAAUUUAGGAAUUUUUGCAGUAAAUGCAAGGUCUGUAAGCAAUAUGAUUAAUUCAGGAUAUGUAUGUCAUGUUGCAAUUAAUAAAUAAUGAUUAUUGGCAAAUAUUUCAAUUAUUUCUUUUGUCCUCCUUCCCUUAAAAGAUAGAUAUGUUUCCACGUAUGAGGUAAGAUUUUUCAAAUGAGCUUCUUUUGGCACAUGGUUUUCAUGGAAAUACAGACUUGGGUCUAUAUUCUGGUGCGGCU
rnacentral:lncRNA from 1 species